rnacentral:rRNA from 1 species
GGUGAGUAACACGUGGGCAACCUGCCUGUAAGACUGGGAUAACUUCGGGAAACCGAAGCUAAUACCGGAUAGGAUCUUCUCCUUCAUGGGAGAUGAUUGAAAGAUGGUUUCGGCUAUCACUUACAGAUGGGCCCGCGGUGCAUUAGCUAGUUGGUGAGGUAACGGCUCACCAAGGCAACGAUGCAUAGCCGACCUGAGAGGGUGAUCGGCCACACUGGGACUGAGACACGGCCCAGACUCCUACGGGAGGCAGCAGUAGGGAAUCUUCCGCAAUGGACGAAAGUCUGACGGAGCAACGCCGCGUGAGUGAUGAAGGCUUUCGGGUCGUAAAACUCUGUUGUUAGGGAAGAACAAGUACAAGAGUAACUGCUUGUACCUUGACGGUACCUAACCAGAAAGCCACGGCUAACUACGUGCCAGCAGCCGCGGUAAUACGUAGGUGGCAAGCGUUAUCCGGAAUUAUUGGGCGUAAAGCGCGCGCAGGCGGUUUCUUAAGUCUGAUGUGAAAGCCCACGGCUCAACCGUGGAGGGUCAUUGGAAACUGGGGAACUUGAGUGCAGAAGAGAAAAGCGGA